GGCAUUUUAUUUCAUCACUUCAAAAUAUUUCUCCCAAAUACCCAAAUACCCAAAUUCCUUCACUCGCUCAUUUCUCUCCAGAAUAGCCAAGAUUAAUUGUUGCCCACUUCCUAACCAUCGCAACCUUGGGAUUAUUGUGCCGUCUCAGCAACCACCGGGUUGAAUCCCAUUUUUAAUGCUCCAAUCCAUCCUCAGUUCACUACCUAGGUCAGAUUACUGGAAGGAAUUUGAAAUUUCUUAUUUAUGAGCCAAAUCAUUCUUGCUCUCUAUCUCUCUCUGUAUUUUCAUUUUAUUACUUAUAAAUCUCAUUAAUUUGACUGGGCAGGUUUUAUGGUUUUGUAACCUAGCAUUGGAUGACUCUAAACAUGGCUACUUCUCUUAGAGAUUUUUGGUGUGCUUGAUAUCAGUAUUGAGUUCAAUCAUCUGCAAGGUUUGUUUCAGUUCUUAUAGUUUGUUUUAACACUUUUUCGUUGCCAUGUAAUUCUAUGGUGUGGAUUUUAUGAAAUUCAUGUUUAAUUCAGAAAACUCUGUUUCGUUAAGUAUUUAGUUCUAUGACUGGCAAUAAUAGGUAGAAAACCUUAAAAGGGCCAUAACAUCAAUCUUUUUUGUUGUUUUUUAACUUUGUUUUGAUGUAAUAAAAG
rnacentral:lncRNA from 1 species